rnacentral:misc_RNA from 1 species
CAAAGAUUAAGCAUUGGCAUGUG